GACGAACGCUGGCGGCGUGCUUAACACAUGCAAGUCGAACGGUCAAGAGGCGGGAGACUAGAGGCAUGAAACAAAAAAGAUCUUGCAUCUUGCUUCUAGUCUCUUGCCUCUUGAUAGUGGCGGACGGGUGAGUAACGCGUGGGUAACCUGCCCUUAACACCGGGACAACAGCGGGAAACUGCUGCUAAUACCGGAUAAUCUCAAGAGAAGGCAUCUUCUUUUGAGGAAAGGUGGCCUCUGAAUAUGCUACCGAUUAAGGAUGGACCCGCGUCUGAUUAGCUAGUUGGUAGGGUAGCGGCCUACCAAGGCGACGAUCAGUAGCCGGCCUGAGAGGGUGACCGGCCACACUGGGACUGAGACACGGCCCAGACUCCUACGGGAGGCAGCAGUGGGGAAUCUUCCGCAAUGGGCGAAAGCCUGACGGAGCAACGCCGCGUGAAUGAAGAAGGCCUCGGGUCGUAAGUUACUGUUGUAAGGGAAGAAGUACUCUUAUGUGAUAAU
rnacentral:rRNA from 1 species